rnacentral:misc_RNA from 1 species
GUCUAUCAAUAAAAAUCAAUCCAAGACAAAGAAACUCACCACAACAAAGUUAUUUGAUCUUGAAUAUCCAAACAAACACAUAUCUUCUACUAUUCCUCAUCUUUAGCCAUGCCCAGAACCAAAGUGAACUUUGCUUUGAUUGAAAAUAAGGCCAAGAGGAAAGUCUCUUGCAAGUUAAGAUUGAAAGGGUUAUUUAAAAAGGC